AUGUUGCAGCGUGCUUGUCAGUGUCUACACCAUGACCAGCAGCCUCCACUCCAAUCAGUCUUACAUCCUGAUCAUCAACAAACUCAUGGAAGAGACCCAUGGCAUUUGAUCCACCACCAACGCAAGCAACCAGCACAUCAGGCUUGCCACCCCACUUGUCCAUCGCCUGUCUACGGGUCUCCUUGCCGAUCACCUUAUGGAACUCCCUCACCAUCAUCGGGUAUGGGUGUGGACCCGCAACUGAGCCCAAAAUGUAGUGUGUGGUCUCUACGUUGGUGA
rnacentral:rRNA from 1 species